AAAAGAAACUAACAAGGAUUCCCCUAGUAACGGCGAGUGAACCGGGAAGAGCUCAAAUUUGAAAUCUGGCGUGCUCAGUGCGUCCGAGUUGUAAUCUAUAGAGGCGUUUUCCGUGCCGGACUGUGUCUAAGUCCCUUGGAACAGGGUAUCAAAGAGGGUGAUAAUCCCGUACUUGACACAAUGACCGGUGCUCUGUGAUACGUCUUCUACGAGUCGAGUUGUUUGGGAAUGCAGCUCAAAAUGGGUGGUGAGUUCCAUCUAAAGCUAAAUAUUGGCGAGAGACCGAUAGCGAACAAGUACCGUGAGGGAAAGAUGAAAAGCACUUUGGAAAGAGAGUUAAACAGUACGUGAAAUUGUUGAAAGGGAAACGAUUGAAGUCAGUCGUGACUGAGAGGCUCAGCCGGUUCUGCCGGUGUAUUCCCCUCAGUCGGGUCAACAUCAGUUUUGUUCGGUGGAUAAGGGCAGCUGGAAGGUGGCACCUCCGGGUGUGUUAUAGCCAGCUGUCGCAUACAUCGAAUGAGACUGAGGAAUGCAGCUCGCCUUUAUGGCCGGGGUUCGCCCACUCCGAGCUAGGAUGUUACAUAAGGCUACG
rnacentral:rRNA from 1 species